rnacentral:rRNA from 1 species
GACGAACGCUGGCGGCGUGCUUAACACAUGCAAGUCGAACGGAAAGGCCCUGCUUUUGUGGGGUGCUCGAGUGGCGAACGGGUGAGUAACACGUGAGUAACCUGCCCUUGACUUUGGGAUAACUUCAGGAAACUGGGGCUAAUACCGGAUAUGAGCUCCUGCUGCAUGGUGGGGGUUGGAAAGUUUCGGCGGUUGGGGAUGGACUCGCGGCUUAUCAGCUUGUUGGUGGGGUAGUGGCUUACCAAGGCUUUGACGGGUAGCCGGCCUGGGAGGGUGACCGGCCACAUUGGGACUGAGAUACGGCCCAGACUCAUACGGGAGGCAGCAGUGGGGAAUAUUGCACAAUGGGCGGAAGCCUGAUGCAGCAACGCCGCGUGCGGGAUGACGGCCUUCGGGUUGUAAACCGCUUUCGCCUGUGACGAAGCGUGAGUGACGGUAAUGGGUAAAGAAGCACCGGCUAACUACGUG